GGUUAAGCUACUAAGAGCACACGGAGGAUGCCUAGGCGCUAGGAGCCGAUGAAGGACGUGGCGAACAACGAUAAGGCCUCGGGGAGCUGUAAGCAAGCUUUGAUCCGGGGAUGUCCGAAUGGGGAAACCCGGCUGGUGUAAUAGCCAGUCACUUCUGUCUGAAUACAUAGGGCAGUCGAGGCAGACCAGGGGAACUGAAACAUCUAAGUACCCUGAGGAAGAGAAAACAAUAGUGAUUCCGUCAGUAGCGGCGAGCGAACGCGGAUUAGCCCAAACCAG
rnacentral:rRNA from 1 species